UCCUGGUUAGCUCAGUUGGUGGAGCGCUCCACCGGAAAUGCAUGUCCCUGGUUCGAUACCAGAACCAGGCG
rnacentral:tRNA from 1 species